CUUAUCCAAGUGAUCCUGACUCCCAGUCUAACUGAAAUUCAUAAAAACUGGGCUGGCUUGUUGAGCAAAAAUGCUGUAGCUACACAGCAUUCAUCAUUAAAGCACACCUGCUCUUUCAAACAAACAUUAUGAGGCAUCACCUGCCUAUGUCUCUCUAAUGAAUACCUGGUUAUACGGUAUUUUUCGCUCAGAUCAGUCCUCACAGCAAAAUGGAAGGAGGAAUAGGAAAAUGGAAGUGAACAGAAGUUGCAGAGAAAGGUGGAUUAUGCACGGCAAUGGUGCUGUUAAAAGUAAACAUCACUGGGACUACAGCUUACCUUUAUGCCAAAGCAGGUUAUCACCUGCAUGUCACUGCUGAUGCUUGUCUGGCCACACCAAGAAGUACAGAAGCUAAACAUGCAGGAAAUUGCUACUCCCCCUUCCUCCCCACAAAAGAAAUAGAGAGAGAAGGAGAGAGAGAAACAGAGAGAGAAACAGAAAGAAAGAAGUGAGUGGGGAGCAGUUUUCAUCUGGUGUAAGUCUCUGAAAUGGCUUAUCACGAGGUCAGCUGAAAGCCAAGGCACGCACAAUGGAAGGAGUGGAGCUGAAGGGCUAGAGCACAGGAAUGCAGGGAGCAAAGGACUGACACAGUGGAACCCAGCCUGGAUGAAACUUCUGGGGAGCUGCAGCCAGAGAAACAUCUGUCUCUGGAACUGACAGAUGUAAAAUGUUUGUAACUCCCUACUGCAUGGCUUCUAUCUCUGCUUUUUGCCUGUUUAUUUCUUGAUACAAAGAAGCCCCGAUGCCCAAGUUUUGCUUCUGAAAUGCAAUGCUUAAAAGCAGGAGCAGCACAUACCAGGGAGCUGUCACUGUGCUGCAUUCACACCCCGUGGUGUGGAAGCUGUUGUUUCUUGCAGUGAUUGCUCCUGAGAGAGGGCCUUGAACUAUACUGGAGUGGUUUUGCUUCUUACGAUCUAAGGAAUUUUUGUUUGGAUUGGGUUGGAUUUGUUAUUGUUUUUUCUUAUUAAUUUUAGUUUGCGAGUCUUUCUUUCUUUUUUCCCCAGCAGUCACCAGCCUUGUUACUGAUGCCUGGUCAAUUGGUUGGUCGGAGGAUAGAUAUGAGAAACACAAACUGCACGGUACUUUUAAAACAUACAGGCUGUGUUAAGUUCCCAGCUUCACAGCACACCGGACGUUCAAACAGUCUGGAUCCUAUUUAGCAAACAUUGUAGAACGUAUUCAGUUAAUAAAAGCUUGGCAAAUAUUAGUAAAAGGCUUGUAAUGGCUGGGAGUGAUGUAAAGGUUAAAAGCUUUGAUAGCAUCGUACCAAGCCCGGAUGAAGCUUGAAGGAACCAAAAUGAUGGGCCAAUGAGAAAUCUCAGUGCUGAUGAGGACAUGAUGAAAUAUUCAUUUGUUGGAAUCAGGAAAAGAUGCAACUGUUCUAUAAAUCUGCAUUUAGCUUCAGAACUUGAUUUUUUUAUAUAUAUUUUUCAGCUCAUGCAGUCCAAUUCUCUCAUUAUCAGUGUAUACAAACUAAAACAAGGAAGAAGUUUCCUCACUACUCCCAGCCUGACAAGAAAGCAAGAUGUUCUUUUCUUUAUGCUUAUGUUACACUGUUUUUCCCUAAUUACAAGCCAGGAGAGGGCUGCAGGGCAGACAGGCACAUGGGGAACGCUAUUUAUUGGUAGGAUCAUUUUGGUGCAGCUGCUGCCCUGACUGGGCAGAGAGAAGCUCCCUGUGGCCCUGAGAUUCCAGCACCUCUCAGGGAAGGCCUGGACAGGAGACGCAAAACCAGGACCACCAGAACUCAUGUGCCAGAUCAGGAUGCACUGCAUUCCCGCUUCCAAAACCGCCCUGAAGAUUCACUUUCCUUUAAAGGCUUGUCUGGACGAGGAUAAAGGUGUAUUUAAAAAAAAAAAAAAGUGCCAGUGAAAAACUUUUAAUUAACAUGAUUUCAGACCCGCAGUGUUGACGGGGUGUGUUGUAUUUUAGCGCAUUUGCCAGCAAACGUGUUAAAAUACAUUUGUGUCCUGUCUACAGGUAACAAGUUGGGACAAGUUUCCAAAAGUUUCAACAUUUAAUUGGAAUUAAAAGUGCUGACUGAGGUACUUUUACCCUGGCUGAGGCUGGGUGUCGUACAUGGAUUUUCUGGAGCUCUGAGAACAGCUGUGAGGCACACACUAUCAGCAAACACUGUGUCACAGGUGAGCAGCCAUAGCUGGGAGGCAGUGGCUCUGUGGGUUUGCUGGGCAGCACCUCCUGACUUUCCAGCAGCCCUAUCUCAGCCCUCCCACUUCCCAACAGGAGAGUGUGAAACCAAUCUUGGGCAAAACAUGCUGCGAGGAGUCACAUGUGGAAGCACUGCUGACAAGCUGAUUUUGGGGGUACAGCGUGCAACUGGAGAUCAGGCAGUGGGCUAAGAGAAACGCUGUGAGAUGGUCGCUGUGGGUCCCUUCCACCUCAGGAUAUUCUAUGAUUCUAUGACCUUUGUGUGUGGAAGCCACUGAAGCACAAUGGAGAUGAAAAGAUCAAGAACUUAAGUGAAGUGCAAGAUUAAGAAUGAGGAAUCUCCCCUGCAGCGUAUUUGUUCUUGCUGGAGUCCUAAAGGUGUGGUGUGACAGCGAGCAGCCCAGCGGCUGCUGGGCCAGCCACAUGGUUACAUCUGGUGGUGGCACCUCACAUCGAGGGGUCUCUGUUAGAACAGAGCUGUCCGGGUUGCGAUGCACUGGGAAGGCAGCAUGCAGUUGUAGAACAUAGAAAUGGUUGAAAACCACACCGUUUGCAAAGCAUAUGCCGCCAAAACUCCCACAGCCUCUCUGUGCAGUGUUUCAGUGCCACCGCUCUGAGAUCCACGCGCUGCUACAGAAGAAAGGGAACUCGCAGAUGCCAACGCAGGUGAAAUCCCAGUGCAGGUGGACAGACGGAUGGCUUCUAGUGCUGUUAGGUCCUGGCACGGUCUUCAAGGAGGUCUUCUCCAUGAGCUGGUAUCUCGACUAGCGUGAAAAAGACAAAAUAAUAGUUAAAAAAAGAGAAAAUCACGAUCCAAAUGAAGAGGGAGCAGAGCAAGCCCCGAGCUCGGAGUUCCCUCGGGAAGUGGCUCACGAAGAUCUCCGCCUCUCCUCGCCCCUCCGUCGCGCAAACGCCCGCCG
ensembl:lncRNA